rnacentral:rRNA from 1 species
CAAGUCGAGCGGCAGCGGGAAAGUAGCUUGCUACUUUUGCCGGCGAGCGGCGGACGGGUGAGUAAUGCCUGGGGAUCUGCCCAGUCGAGGGGGAUAACUACUGGAAACGGUAGCUAAUACCGCAUACGCCCUACGGGGGAAAGCAGGGGACCUUCGGGCCUUGCGCGAUUGGAUGAACCCAGGUGGGAUUAGCUAGUUGGUGAGGUAACGGCUCACCAAGGCGACGAUCCCUAGCUGGUCUGAGAGGAUGAUCAGCCACACUGGAACUGAGACACGGUCCAGACUCCUACGGGAGGCAGCAGUGAGGUAUAUUGCACAAUGGGGGAUACCCUGAUGCAGCCAUGCCGCGUGUGUGAAGAAGGCCUUCGGGUUGUAAAGCACUUUCAGCGAGGAGGAGAGGUUGGUAGCUAAUAACUGCCAGCUGUGACGUUACUCGCAGAAGAAGCACCGGCUAACUCCGUGCCAGCAGCCGCG